rnacentral:rRNA from 1 species
AAGAAAGAUUAAUACCUGAUGGUAUGAUGAGAUUGCAUGAUAGCAUCAUUAAAGAUUUAUCGGUGAUGGAUGGGGAUGCGUCUGAUUAGCUUGUUGGCGGGGUAACGGCCCACCAAGGCAACGAUCAGUAGGGGUUCUGAGAGGAAGGUCCCCCACAUUGGAACUGAGACACGGUCCAAACUCCUACGGGAGGCAGCAGUGAGGAAUAUUGGUCAAUGGACGAGAGUCUGAACCAGCCAAGUAGCGUGCAGGAUGACGGCCCUAUGGGUUGUAAACUGCUUUUAUAAGGGAAUAAAGUGAGUCUCGUGAGAUUUUUUGCAUGUACCUUAUGAAUAAGGACCGGCUAAUUCCGUGCCAGCAGCCGCGGUAAUACGGAAGGUCCGGGCGUUAUCCGGAUUUAUUGGGUUUAAAGGGAGCGUAGGCCGGAGAUUAAGCGUGUUGUGAAAUGUAGAUGCUCAACAUCUGCACUGCAGCGCGAACUGGUUUCCUUGAGUACGCACAAAGUGGGCGGAAUUCGUGGUGUAGCGGUGAAAUGCUUAGAUAUCACGAAGAACUCCGAUUGCGAAGGCAGCCUGCUAAGCUGCAACUGACAUUGAGGCUCGAAAGUGUGGGUAUCAAACAGGA